UAUUGCUUGUGCUAUUUACAGCAGUUACAUCUGUCGGGAAUGGAAACACGCUUAUAGAUUGCAAGGAAAAUCACCCGCUAAAGCUAGCAGGUGACCAGUGGAGAACCGUGGUGAGGAGGUCUUCGGGCAGAGAAUUAUACUCAGGAGGCUCCAGAAGAGAGGAGGGAUAUGGAGGGAUUGGACUCGCCGCUCACAGAGUUAUCAAACACCGUUGCCAGAUAUUUUAUAGCAGCAUCUCACUGACGGAAAUGGUGAGAAUCAGAGCUGUCAUGGCAGCAACACGCAGCUCUGUAAAUGCCAUUCAUCAUGAGUUCCUAAAGAAUCUGGGAAAGGAUCCCAGUUCUAAUGGAACACAGCUGUUUAGACUAAUGAGCAUUACUCACUCAGUUAUCAUUCCUCUGAUAUUCCCCGAAGAUCGGAAAUGAUUUGAACUGACUUUCUCUUUCACAGGCAUGGGCUUAGUAGUACAUACACCUCAUUCUUUCUGAACUAUCUACACACACAACCAGAGCCCCACAGUUUCGGGUUGCGAUCUUGGGGAGUCUGCUCGUGCACGCUUUCUUCUUUUUCUGCCGCUGCCUCACGCUGUAUCCUGGCAGGCGUGCCUCAUCAGAACAAGUCUUCCUAACUCUGCCCGCCUUCUAGUCCAAAAAUGUCGUGAGAAGAAGCGGGAUGGCACAGCUGACUGUACAAGCAUUUGUAUGACACAGCAUUUGUACGUCUGGGGAGAGCCCAUCUUUGCGCGUAAGUGUGGCCAGAGGGCGGCUGAGUGACCAACGCCUUUGGAACGUGACGCUCCCUUCCUCGCAAAAUAAAGGUUGGAAUAGAGUGAGGCAGA